UGUAGUUUGCUGUGACCGUGAUUCCACUGUCAUGGAUAAUAUUUUUGACUUUUGGUGUUCUGUAUUUAGAAAUUUGUGUCUAUAAAUGAUUUUGUCAGUCAGUCAGUCAGGGAACAUGAUGAAAUAGUUGCUGUUGGAGCAGUUGCCUUCAUGAACUAAAUCUUCAUCACAAGAAAGAAGUCUUUUAUCGGUACAUAGAUAAUGAAAGCGGCGGACAUAGUUGUUUUUGACUCUGAUGCUGGCUCCAGCAGUGACCUAACUCGUAAGUAACCCUAACCCUAACAGAAGGAGGUUCAGAGCUAAGCAUAUGCAUGUUAGGUUGGCAUUAGAGGACGUUCUAUCCUGACUGGGUCUUUUUAAAAUUGGGUAUGAUAUCAUACCUUGGAUGGAGGAAAGUCUAGUUUUUCAACGAUUCUGCCUCCUGUCUACCAAUUGUAUAAGAAGGUCAAUCAUCUUGUUUAUUUGAUGGGUAAUCAAGGAAGUAUCAUCAAGUCUCACAACAAUGGCCCUGUCUCCUCUGCUGCCAUGUACCCUAUGGUUGUAUAUAGCACAACAAGCUAGGUAGAAGAACCAGAAUAAGCAUCAGUCCUUAUUUCAACAUUUUAGAAAGAGGAGGAAAGGCAAAAAACAAUCAGAAGAGGUCGUGUAACUCUUCUAUCCUUUAGAAGACCGUAAGAGGACCAUACUUUACUCAUGCUGAAAGGAAUUUUUUGUGGUAAGCUGAUUAUUCUGUUCAAAGAGGGAAUUGAGUCGCAAAAGGCUUCCUUAGAAGCAGUUGAAUUAGGACAAGAGGAAUGAUAUAUUUAUUGUCGAUUCUAUAUCUUCGUUAGGCGAGAAAGAGGUGACUACUUUAUAUUUGAAGAUUAGAGGUUGCUUUAUAUAUUGUCUGUAUAGCAUAUGGUAUUUUGCUUUGAGACCUGUUGCUGGUUUUUAAAGUAUGUUCUGUAUCUAUGUUGAAGAUGUAUUACAAUAAA